CAUGGAGGGUGAGAAUCCCGUUCGGCUGACUUUAGGAUGUUUUAUGAUACGCUUUCAAAGAGUCGAGUUGUUUGGGAAUGCAGCUCAAAAUGGGAGGUAAAUUUCUCCUAAGGCUAAAUACCGGCGAGAGACCGAUAGCGAACAAGUACCGUGAGGGAAAGAUGAAAAGAACUUUGAAAAGAGAGUUAAACAGUACGUGAAAUUGUUGAAAGGGAAACGAUUGAAGCCAGUCGUACUGACGGGAAAUCAACUUCUCGGUUUCUAAUCAUGGGUGGCGUUGAGCCUCACGGUCUUCGUUGCUUAUGUUUUGGUUUCUUUGGAGUGCACUUUCUCGUAUGGUAGGUCAACAUCGAUUUUGAUCGUCAUAAAAUGAUCGGAGGAAUGUAGCUUCGAUUUCGGUUGGAGUGUUAUAGCCUUUGGUAGAUGUGACGAUUGGGAUCGAGGAUUGCAACGAAUACCUUUGUGCUAUCCGUCUGACCUCUGAAAGUCGCUUGGGUGCUGAAAGCGUGCUUAUAGCUAUUCAAGUUGGCGGUCAAUAGGUUAGAACGCGAUUACAUUCGUUAAGGAUGUUGACGUAAUGG
rnacentral:rRNA from 1 species